CAAGUAGUCAAUCAAUAAAUCAAUCAAUCAGUUACUUAAAAAGAACCCAAAGUCAGCCAGGAUGUGAAAAUUUCAAAUACCCAACCUCGCACUGACAAACCAUAUCCUGCUGCUUUGCUGCUAGUGCAUUUUUUCCUGCAUGUUUCCUCUAUGUCCUUUUCUCUCACAGAUGAUGGUGAGCAGUCAGCAGCCCCCCCUGAUAAUGUGAGCAUACAGCAGCCCCCCCUGCAAACAGCAGAAUGUGGAUUCGCUAUAUAGCACCAUUUGGCAGUCUUUUGGUGCUACUGGUCAUGGCAGCAGUUGGAUUUAGGAAGUGCAAAUCAGCGCUCCCAAACCCCAACACUGACCCUUAGGAGGUCCUGGUGCUCAAGGUGGGAGAGGAGGAUGGAGGAGCUGAGAGGAGCAAGCGUGAGCAGCAGGACAGUCCUCUGUCUCUCCAGAAUGGACACGGAGGAGGGGAACAACACCGGGAGAAUCACGUUUAACUCAUCUGUGUGAGAAACAACCAAACUGAUUAUAUACUAUUAUUCAUAUGAUAUGUCAUGUUAAUAUUAUUAUAAGAUAGCUACGUAUAUACAAGAGGUUUGUAUAGGCGUAUUUAUAUUAUAAUAACAGGCUUAUCUAUAUGAUAAUAAUAAUAAUAAUAAUAAUAAUAAAAUAAUAAUAAUAAUAAAGUCUUCCUACA
rnacentral:lncRNA from 1 species